UUAAGCGACUAAGCGUACACGGUGGAUGCCCUGGCAGUCAGAGGCGAUGAAGGACGUGCUAAUCUGCGAAAAGCGUCGGUAAGGUGAUAUGAACCGUUAUAACCGGCGAUGUCCGAAUGGGGAAACCCAGUGCAAUUCGUUGCACUAUCGUUAACUGAAUACAUAGGUUAACGAGGCGAACCGGGGGAACUGAAACAUCUAAGUACCCCGAGGAAAAGAAAUCAACCGAGAUUCCCCCAGUAGCGGCGAGCGAACGGGGAGCAGCCCAGAGUCUGAAUCAGCUUGUGUGUUAGUGGAACGGUCUGGAAAGUCCGACGGUACAGGGUGAUAGUCCCGUACACCAAAAUGCACAGGUUGUGAACUCGAAGAGUAGGGCGGGACACGUGGUAUCCUGUCUGAAUAUGGGGGGACCAUCCUCCAAGGCUAAAUACUCCUGACUGACCGAUAGUGAACCAGUACCGUGAGGGAAAGGCGAAAAGAACCCCGGCGAGGGGAGUGAAAAAGAACCUGAAACCGUGUACGUACAAGCAGUGGGAGCACCUUCGGGUGUGACUGCGUACCUUUUGUAUAAUGGGUCAGCGACUUAUAUUCUGUAGCAAGGUUAACCGUAUAGGGGAGCCGCAGGGAAACCGAGUCUUAACUGGGCGUUAAGUUGCAGGGUAUAGACCCGAAACCCGGUGAUCUAGCCAUGGGCAGGUUGAAGGUUGGGUAACACUAACUGGAGGACCGAACCGACUAAUGUUGAAAAAUUAGCGGAUGACUUGUGGCUGGGGGUGAAAGGCCAAUCAAACCGGGAGAUAGCUGGUUCUCCCCGAAAGCUAUUUAGGUAGCGCCUCGUGAAUUCAUCUUCGGGGGUAGAGCACUGUUUCGGCUAGGGGGUCAUCCCGACUUACCAACCCGAUGCAAACUACGAAUACCGAAGAAUGUUAUCACGGGAGACACACGGCGGGUGCUAACGUCCGUCGUGAAGAGGGAAACAACCCAGACCGCCAGCUAAGGUCCCAAAGUCAUGGUUAAGUGGGAAACGAUGUGGGAAGGCACAGACAGCCAGGAUGUUGGCUUAGAAGCAGCCAUCAUUUAAAGAAAGCGUAAUAGCUCACUGGUCGAGUCGGCCUGCGCGGAAGAUGUAACGGGGCUAAACCAUGCACCGAAGCUGCGGCAGCGACACUAUGUGUUGUUGGGUAGGGGAGCGUUCUGUAAGCCUGCGAAGGUGNUGCUGGAGGUAUCAGAAGUGCGAAUGCUGACAUAAGUAACGAUAAAGCGGGUGAAAAGCCCGCUCGCCGGAAGACCAAGGGUUCCUGUCCAACGUUAAUCGGGGCAGGGUGAGUCGACCCCUAAGGCGAGGCCGAAAGGCGUAGUCGAUGGGAAACAGGUUAAUAUUCCUGUACUUGGUGUUACUGCGAAGGGGGGACGGAGAAGGCUAUGUUAGCCGGGCGACGGUUGUCCCGGUUUAAGCAUGUAGGCUGAUUAUCCAGGCAAAUCCGGAUAAUCAAGGCUGAGGUGUGAUGACGAGGCACUACGGUGCUGAAGUAACAAAUGCCCUGCUUCCAGGAAAAGCCUCUAAGCAUCAGGUAACAUCAAAUCGUACCCCAAACCGACACAGGUGGUCAGGUAGAGAAUACCAAGGCGCUUGAGAGAACUCGGGUGAAGGAACUAGGCAAAAUGGUGCCGUAACUUCGGGAGAAGGCACGCUGGUGUGUAGGUGAAGCCCCUGCGGGUGGAGCUGAGACCAGUCGAAGAUACCAGCUGGCUGCAACUGUUUAUUAAAAACACAGCACUGUGCAAACACGAAAGUGGACGUAUACGGUGUGACGCCUGCCCGGUGCCGGAAGGUUAAUUGAUGGGGUUAUCCGUAAGGAGAAGCUCUUGAUCGAAGCCCCGGUAAACGGCGGCCGUAACUAUAACGGUCCUAAGGUAGCGAAAUUCCUUGUCGGGUAAGUUCCGACCUGCACGAAUGGCGUAAUGAUGGCCAGGCUGUCUCCACCCGAGACUCAGUGAAAUUGAACUCGCUGUGAAGAUGCAGUGUACCCGCGGCAAGACGGAAAGACCCCGUGAACCUUUACUAUAGCUUGACACUGAACAUUGAGCCUUGAUGUGUAGGAUAGGUGGGAGGCUUUGAAGCGUGGACGCCAGUCUGCGUGGAGCCAACCUUGAAAUACCACCCUUUAAUGUUUGAUGUUCUAACGUUGGCCCCUGACCGGGGUUGCGGACAGUGUCUGGUGGGUAGUUUGACUGGGGCGGUCUCCUCCCAAAGCGUAACGGAGGAGCACGAAGGUUAGCUAAUCCUGGUCGGACAUCAGGAGGUUAGUGCAAUGGCAUAAGCUAGCUUGACUGCGAGCGUGACGGCGCGAGCAGGUGCGAAAGCAGGUCAUAGUGAUCCGGUGGUUCUGAAUGGAAGGGCCAUCGCUCAACGGAUAAAAGGUACUCCGGGGAUAACAGGCUGAUACCGCCCAAGAGUUCAUAUCGACGGCGGUGUUUGGCACCUCGAUGUCGGCUCAUCACAUCCUGGGGCUGAAGUAGGUCCCAAGGGUAUGGCUGUUCGCCAUUUAAAGUGGUACGCGAGCUGGGUUUAGAACGUCGUGAGACAGUUCGGUCCCUAUCUGCCGUGGGCGCUGGAGAAUUGAGGGGGGCUGCUCCUAGUACGAGAGGACCGGAGUGGACGCAUCACUGGUGUUCGGGUUGUCAUGCCAAUGGCACUGCCCGGUAGCUAAAUGCGGAAGAGAUAAGUGCUGAAAGCAUCUAAGCACGAAACUUGCCCCGAGAUGAGUUCUCCCUGAGACUUUAAGUCUCCUGAAGGAACGUUGAAGACGACGACGUUGAUAGGCCGGGUGUGUAAGCGCAGCGAUGCGUUGAGCUAACCGGUACUAAUGAACCGUGAGGCUUAACCUU
rnacentral:rRNA from 1 species